UACCCUGCAAGAGGUGAUUAACCAGACUAUUGACGGAGCUAUGAAGCGGUUCCGAAUAGACAUAGUAACGGUAAUAGAGGAGGCCACAAGCUAAUCGCAGAAGAAGGAUGAGCGAAGAUCAAGAGGACGGAUGUAGAGAAGGAGGAACUUCCGAUGACGGAACGACACGAACGAUGGAUCAAGACAAGGAAGGGCGAAGAGAUGAAGACGAAGCAGAGGACCACCGGAACAAAGACAAAGAAACAGAAAAAACUACCCCGAAGACAGAAGAAGACAAUCGGAGAUAGCUUAGUGGGAUGUUGAUAUCAUUUAAGAUCGAAACUCGAUGUUCAUGCUUAGUUGAAGUUUACUGCUUUACUUUGUCCUGUGUUUCUUUGUAGUUUACUGUGCACAAGCCUAUAAGCAUACAUAAUAAUUUCUGUCAUGACUUUUAUGCUGCUGUUGUUUUUCUAUAUCUUCAUGCACGAGUAUAUGAGCUACUCGCUCGCUAAAGUCUGUAGCACUGAAGCGCAUAUCGGAAAGAAACUGAAGGCCAAGAGCUACUAUAAGUAUGAGGAAACUGAAGGCCAAGAGCUAUUAUAAGCAUGAGUAACAGCUUUGAACGUAUUGAAGCUUCAAGAAAUUAUAGGGUGGAUUGAGACAUUUUCUGGACAUGGAAAAUAGUUAUUGCUAUUGGAUUCUUGUCAUAAUGUUUUGUACUCAGAUCGAUGAACCUGACAACUGAACUCGAAUUGCUCUAAUAGUCCAAAAUCAUGUACUAUUAAAAAAAACUCUAAAAUUUAGCAUCAAAUAACUGCCACUGGUUGAUAUCA